UCAUUUUCCUUUUUUCUUUUUCCUUUCUUCACAUUUAAAUAAUCUCAAUCCUCUCUACUUCUCUUCUCUAACAACAGCUUUUCCACAACACCAGCACCUUCAAGAUCCAUCUCACACAUAUAUUUAGGAUCAAACCCUAGAUUUUCUUCUGACUUCCAUCUCACUUUUAAUCUCAUCUCAAUCAUACAGAUCAUUGUUUACUCCGACUGGGGUUUCCAAUUUCGAUUAGAAUUAGGGGUUUGGUGAAUUCUGGUCGAAAUUAAAAUGAUUUCGAAAUCGUAUGCAAACUUGUUAGAUCUAGCUAACGGGAAUUUCCCAGCUAUGGAAGAACCCAGAAGGAAGAUGAUCUCCAGGACAAUGACUGUCCCCGGAGUUCUAACAGAGCUCGACGAUGAUCAAGCUCGCAGCGUUUCAUCCGACGCCCCUUCAACGGUUAUGGCGGAUAGGUUAAUCGUUGUAGCCAAUCAACUCCCGAUUAAAGCUACACGGAAAAUCGAUGAUAAUGGCGAAUCAUCAUGGAGCUUCACCUGGGAUGAGAAUUCUUUAUAUAAGCAUAUAAAAGAUGGGUUGCCUGAUGAAAUGGAGGUUAUCUACGUAGGCUCACUUAGGGCUGACAUUGAUCUUAACGAACAAGACGAUGUUUCACAGAUUUUGCUAGAGAGAUUCAAAUGUGUUCCAGCGUUUCUCCCUCCCGAUGUUUUAGACAAGUAUUAUCACGGCUUCUGUAAGCAACAUCUAUGGCCGCUCUUCCAUUACAGACUACCGUUUUCAGCCAGCCAUGGUGGUAGAUUUGACCGGUCUUUAUGGGAAGCGUAUGUAGCUGCAAACAAAAUAUUCUCUCAAAAGGUAAUCGAAGUUAUAAAUCCAGAUGAUGAUUACGUCUGGAUUCAUGAUUAUCACCUAAUGGUACUUCCUUCUUUCUUAAGAAGACAUUUCAAUAGACUCAGAAUGGGUUUCUUCCUCCAUAGCCCAUUCCCAUCUUCAGAAAUCUACAGAACUUUACCAGUAAGAGAAGAAAUCAUCAAAUCACUUCUAAACGCCGAUCUUCUAGGGUUCCACACAUUUGACUACGCCCGACAUUUUCUUUCUUGCUGUAGCAGAAUGCUCGGAUUGGAAUACCAAUCAAAACGAGGCUACAUCGGAUUGGAAUACUACGGGAGAACAAUCGGAAUCAAAAUCAUGCCGAGUGGAAUCCACAUGGGACAAAUGGAAUCCAUACUAAGACAACCCGAAAAACAGACACGUGUCCACGAGCUUCAACAACAAUUCCAAGGGAAAACAAUUCUCUUAGGUGUCGAUGAUUUGGACACCUUCAAAGGCGUAAACCUAAAAGUCUUAGCAAUGGAACAAAUGCUGAAAUCACACCGAUCAUGGAUUGGACGCGCAAUCUUAAUCCAAAUCUUGAAUCCAGCUCGCGGAAAAGGUCGCCAUGUGGAAGAAAUCGAAGCUGAAAUAAGAACAAGCACCGAAAGAAUCAAUCAGGAAUUGGGGAUUCCAGGGAGUAAUUACAAUCCAAUCAUACUUAUCGACACCCCACUUUCUCUAACAGAAAAAGCCGCUUACUACACAAUUUCAGAAGCUGCAAUUGUCACAGCCAUUAGAGACGGAAUGAAUCUAACCCCAUACGAAUACAUCGUAUGUAGACAAGGUAUCUCAGGGUCAGAUUCGUCAAAUUCCCCUCAAAAAUCCAUGUUAGUAGUAUCCGAAUUUGUCGGGUGUUCACCUUCUUUAAGUGGGGCCAUACGUGUGAACCCAUGGAACGUGGACGCCACAUCAGAAGCCAUGUAUGAAGCUAUUUCAACUUCCGAUCUUGAAAAACAAAUGAGACACGAGAAGCAUUAUAAAUACGUUAGCAGCCAUGAAGUUAGUUACUGGUCUAGAAGCUUCUUUCAAGACCUUGAGAGAACAUGCGUUGAACAUUUCAGAAGACGAUGUUGGGGAAUCGGAUUGAGCUUUGGGUUCAGAGUCGUCGCCCUCGAUCCAAUGUUCAGGAAGCUGACAAGUGGCGCGAUCGUGGCCGCAUACGAACACGCUCAAAAUCGAGCUAUUUUAUUAGACUACGAUGGCACUGUGAUGCCACAAUCAUCGAUAGAUAAACGCCCGAGUCACGAAGUGAUUUCGAUUUUUAAAAAAUUAUGUAACGACCCGAAGAACACGGUGUUUGUUGUUAGUGGGAGAGGGAGAGAAGAUCUUGCUAAAUGGUUUGCUCCGUGUGAGAAGCUUGGAAUUGCAGCCGAACAUGGUUACUUUAUAAGGUGGCCGGGGGAGAAAGAGUGGGAGACGUGUGCGCAAGGGAUGAAUUUUGGGUGGAUGCAGAUGGCGGAACCGGUGAUGAGAUUGUAUACGGAUGCGACGGACGGGUCGUAUAUUGAAAGGAAAGAAAGCGCGUUGGUGUGGCAUCAUCAGGAUGCGGAUCCGGGUUUCGGGUCGGCCCAAGCGAAGGAAAUGUUGGAUCAUUUGGAAAGUGUUCUUGCUAAUGAACCGGUUGUGGUCAAAAGCGGUCAAUAUAUAGUUGAAGUCAAACCACAGGGUGUGACGAAGGGUUUAGUGGCAGAGAAGAUAUUUUCAUCGAUGUUUAAGAAAGAAAGAAGGGCUGAUUUUGUGUUGUGUGUGGGGGAUGAUAGAAGCGAUGAAGAUAUGUUUGUGAUGAUUGGGGAUGCCAUAAAAGGAGGUGUCAUUUUGAAUGUCAAUAAUCGAUCAGUGUUUGCAUGUACUGUGGGACAGAAACCAAGUAGGGCGGAGUAUUAUUUGGAUGACACAGUGGAGGUUAUGAAUAUGAUUGAGAAUCUUGGUGACGUGUCAGUGUCUGAAGAUGAAGAAGAAGAAUCUGAAGAUGAUGGGAGUGAGUCUUGAUGUUUAUGUUAAUUCGAAUACCUCUGCUUGGGGUUGUACAUUCUGAUGAAGAAAGUAAAAGGAAGGAGGGUUUUUUGAUUUUAUAGGUUAAAACAGGUGAGUUUGUUUAUUGGGAAGAUGGAUGGGAGAUUAAAAAAGAAAGGUUUUCAAUAGUGCUUUCGCAACUCUUGUCAUUUUGCUUUCUGUUUGGAAUUUUUGGAUUGAGGUUGAGGCUUUCACAAGUUUGGUUAAGUUGUAUCUGUGGAGAUCAAUUUUAUUUUUGGAACGUUAAGACAGGAAACAGGAAUGAUUUGUAUAAAGAGAAAUUAAAUA